ACUAACAAAAAUGUCAUCGCCUACAUGUGUUGGUGUAAAAUUCUACGUAAAAUCGUACGAAAUAUUCAUCUUAUACAAACUGAUGUUGGGGACAUAAUUUACCGUACGAAAUACCACUCUAGGUAUGGUUACUCUAAGAUUUUUUCACGAAAAAA